rnacentral:siRNA from 1 species
UUGGACUCUGAAUCCAGUA